rnacentral:rRNA from 1 species
GACGGGGGGAGCGAGCGUUGUUCGGAAUUACUGGGCGUAAAGGGCGUCUAGGCGGGUCUGUAAGUCAGGUGUGAAAUCCCCCGGCUCAACCGGGGAACUGCACUUGAAACUGCAAGUCUUGAGUUCGGAAGGGGAAAGCGGAAUUCCUGGUGUAGCGGUGAAAUGCGUAGAUAUCAGGAAGAACACCGGUGGCGAAGGCGGCUUUCUGGUCCGAUACUGACGCUGAAGCGCGAAAGUGUGGGGAG